rnacentral:rRNA from 1 species
GACGAACGCUGGCGGCGUGCUUAACACAUGCAAGUCGAACGGAAAGGCCCUGCUUUUGUGGGGUGCUCGAGGGGCGAACGGGUGAGUAACACGUGAGUAACCUGCCCUUGACUUUGGGAUAACUUCAGGAAACUGGGGCUAAUACCGGAUAGGAGCUCCUGCUGCAUGGUGGGGGUUGGAAAGUUUCGGCGGUUGGGGCUGGACUCGCGGCUUAUCAGCUUGUUGGUGGGGUAGUGGCUUACCAAGGCUUUGACGGGUAGCCGGCCUGAGAGGGUGACCGGCCACAUUGGGACUGAGAUACGGCCCAGACUCCUACGGGAGGCAGCAGUGGGGAAUAUUGCACAAUGGGCGGAAGCCUGAUGCAGCAACGCCGCGUGCGGGAUGACGGCCUUCGGGUUGUAAACCGCUUUCGCCUGUGACGAAGCGUGAGUGACGGUAAUGGGUAAAGAAGCACCGGCUAACUACGUG